rnacentral:lncRNA from 1 species
UUGCUUGAAUGACAAUCUGAAAAGAAUUAAAGAUGAUACUACAAUCAGAAUGACAAUCUGAAAAGAAUUAAAGAUGAUACUACAAUCAGAAAUGAGCAUAAUUUAAGAUAUGAAGAAUUACAAAUAAUUCAUCUAUAUUCUAGCUAGGAAGAUAAACAUGUACUACAAAGACACGUAUUAAGUAUUUAAAUAUCUCAAUGCUGAAUGCGUAAAUCACUUUCUUAAAAAAGAAAACCAACGAAAAUAGGUAUUCACUUACUUGGCCAUAAAAUAACUACGGUGAAUCAUCAAAUCUUGAUCAUUCUCACAAACCAUGUUUACAAUUUAUUCAAGCAAGUCAAGCUAAACUGUGCAUCUGCAAGUGGAAAGCAAUAUCGCAUUAAAUCACAAUGAAGCAAUUCAGUCUACACUAUUUUUGAGUAGUUGAAUACUUUGAACUAACCAUGUUUUUUGCAUCAGCAAUUGGUUUCUUUCUUUCUGCGAACAAAUUAAAACAUAAAUAAAUAUUUUUACAUAAAACAUUUAAUGCAAAAUGUUGUUAUGCAUGUAUCAAAGUUAUACAAUAGAAUAGUGAGUCAAACAAAACAUACGGUGAUUUACCUCAACUUCAUUCAUAUGGUGAUGUACCUCAACUUUACCCAUGUUGACACCAUUUUCCUGUAAAAAUUGUUUAAAUCCAUCAUAGUAGGUAUUAAGAUUAAACACUUAGAAAAAAAUGGUAACACAGU